rnacentral:lncRNA from 1 species
CAUUUUUUCAUUGAUCAUCAGCACCCGUCAGGACCGAAUCACCAGCACAGAACGUUCUCUCACAGGACAACCAUACCCACCGUGAGAAAAGAAAACUGAAGUUGAAAUCAUCCCUUCGUAAAUUUUACGGACGCCAUCACGAGUUGGUUGACCGUUAUGGAAUAACCGUUUCACAAAUGAUAUCGGAUAUGUUCCUUACGUCGUAACUACAAUCCCCUUCCCUUUCAUGAAUGUGACCUACCGAAUUAGACUAUUUACCGGAUUGUUAUCACAUAAGCAACACGACGGGUGCCACAUGUGGAGCAGGAUCUGCUUACCCUUCCGGAGCACCUGAGAUCACCCCUAGUUUUUGGUGGGG